rnacentral:rRNA from 1 species
CGCCCGCCGCGCGCGGCGGGCGGGGCGGGGGCACGGGGGSCCUACGGGGUGCASCAGGCGCGCAAACUUUACAAUGCGAGCAAUCGUGAUAAGGAAACCCUGAGUGCCUGUCGAUGCAGGCUGUUCAUAUAUCUAAAUCAUAUGUGAAGAAAGGGCAGGGCAAGACCG